UACGAAGGGGGGCUAGCGUUGUUCGGAGUUACUGGGCGUAAAGGGCGCGUAGGCGGCCCCUUCAAGUCGGGUGUGAAAGCCCAGGGCUCAACCCUGGAAUAGCACUCGAGACUGAAGAGCUUGAGGAUGGGAGAGGAUGGUGGAAUUCCCAGUGUAGAGGUGAAAUUCGUAGAUAUUGGGGAAGAACACCCGGUGGCGAAGGCGGCCAUCUGGACCAUUUCUGACGCUGAGGCGCGAAAGCGUGGGGAGCAAACAGG
rnacentral:rRNA from 1 species